UGCAAAUCUUCAAAUGGUUUACUAAAGAAGCAGUACCUGCCGAUGUGGAUUUGCAACCCAAUACAGCACUACAAUAGUUGCAGUUUGCAUGAUCCGGAUCAUCCACCUGAAUUGUGAAGUAAGGAACCUUGACUAGCAACAUAACCAGCACCAAGGUUGACACUAUCGAACACCUGAAGAAAUAAGUUAGCCACUACUACUGCAACCAAACUGAACCAACUAUGUUACUGAACAAGUAUCAUGAGAUCAGGGAGAUGCUAUGCUACUGAACAAGUAUCCAACCAGAUCGAACUCAAGGUCAAAGAAUGGGCUUACCAUGAUGGCGUCGACGGCUCGUGUUGCUCCGUGGAACCGUGCGUCGGCGAGCGCGACGGAGGGCGGAGCCGCGGAUGUCAGCGAGUCGGCGACUCAACGGCGUGGAGGAAAGAGGGCGGAGCCGGAGG